AUGAUGAGCUGGAGGAGCAGCAGCCAGAGGACCAGGACGAGUACUAGCCCCGGCACGCGAGGCUCAUCCUUUGCACUCCGGGUGUGCUGACCCCUGCGAUUUCCCCAAAUGCGGGAAACUCGACUGCAUAAUUUGUGGUAGUGGGGGACUGCGUUCGCGCUCUCCCCUG
rnacentral:snRNA from 1 species